CUCAUUUCUAGGUUAAUAAUCUGAGGAAAUCAAUGUUUUUUUGCCACUCUCUACCUUACCUCCCCUGUGUAUCUCAGUCUUUUCUUUCUCUCUCUACUUCACCAUAUUUGCUCUCAGUUUUAUACUUUCCACAUUAUAGACAUCUAUCCUUUGUCCUCUGCAAUUCUCUCUCUCUCUUUUAAUUUUUCCUUCCUCCUUAUCUAACUAUUGAAUAUAUACCUCUUCUUAGCCCUGUGAUUUUGCCUUGGUGAUGAGUAGUUAUUUCCAGACUUAAUGAGCCCUGAUCCUACGAGAGUCCCGUUAGAAGUCUGUUGGUGGGGAGCAAUCCGAGCCUGGCCCUUUCUCCAACAUUUUCAGUUGUAAUUCACUGAAGCAGAUCCUCACACACAGUUUCAUUAUAGCUCACAUAUCUUUGAGUCUUUG
rnacentral:lncRNA from 1 species